GGAAGGCAAAGCCUAUACAUGCACUCGACGGUAACAGGAAGAAGCUUGCUUCUUCGCUGACGAGUGGCGGACGGGUGAGUAAUGUCUGGGAAACUGCCUGAUGGAGGGGGAUAACUACUGGAAACGGUAGCUAAUACCGCAUAACGUCGCAAGACCAAAGAGGGGGACCUUCGGGCCUCUUGCCAUCGGAUGUGCCCAGAUGGGAUUAGUAAGUAGGUGGGGUAACGGCUCACCUAGGCGACGAUCCCUAGCUGGUCUGAGAGGAUGACCAGCCACACUGGAACUGAGACACGGUCCAGACUCCUACGGGAGGCAGCAGUGGGGAAUAUUGCACAAUGGGCGCAAGCCUGAUGCAGCCAUGCCGCGUGUAUGAAGAAGGCCUUCGGGUUGUAAAGUACUUUCAGCGGGGAGGAAGGGAGUAAAGUUAAUACCUUUGCUCAUUGACGUUACCCGCAGAAGAAGCACCGGCUAACUCCGUGCCAGCAGCCGCGGUAAUACGGAGGGUGCAAGCGUUAAUCGGAAUUACUGGGCGUAAAGCGCACGCAGGCGGUUUGUUAAGUCAGAUGUGAAAUCCCCGGGCUCAACCUGGGAACUGCAUCUGAUACUGGCAAGCUUGAGUCUCGUAGAGGGGGGUAGAAUUCCAGGUGUAGCGGUGAAAUGCGUAGAGAUCUGGAGGAAUACCGGUGGCGAAGGCGGCCCCCUGGACGAAGACUGACGCUCAGGUGCGAAAGCGUGGGGAGCAAACAGGAUUAGAUACCCUGGUAGUCCACGCCGUAGACGAUGUCGACAUGGGAGGUUGUGCCCUUGAGGCGUGGCUUCCGGAGCUAACGCGUUAAGUCGACCGCCUGGGGAGUACGGCCGCAAGGUUAAAACUCAAAUGAUUGACGGGGGCCCGCACAAGCGGUGGAGCAUGUGGUUUAAUUCGAUGCAACGCGGAGAGCUUACCUGGUCUUGACAUCCACGGAAGUUUCAGAGAUGAGAAUGUGCCUUCGGGACCGUGAGACAGUGCUGCAUGGCUGUCGUCAGCUCGUGUUGUGAAUGUAGAGUUAGUCCCGCACCGAGCGCAUCCUUAUCCUUUGUGCCAUGCGGUCCGGCCGGGACCUCAAGGAGACUGCCAUGAUCACCUGAGGAGGUGGGAUUGACGUCAAUCAUCUUGCCUUCAGACAGAGCUCACACAUGUACACAUGGGCCAGCCACAGGAGGACCCUCCGGAGCCACCCGCAACACUAAAAAGGCCCGUCUAUCCCCGAGAUGAAAAAUGUUCGAAACGUACGU
rnacentral:rRNA from 1 species